rnacentral:rRNA from 2 species
GGUUAAGCGACUAAGCGUACACGGUGGAUGCCCUGGCAGUCAGAGGCGAUGAAGGGCGUGCUAAUCUGCGAUAAGCGCCGGUAAGGUGAUAUGAACCGUUAUAACCGGCGAUACCCGAAUGGGGAAACCCAGUGUGACUCGUCACACUAUCAUUAACUGAAUCCAUAGGUUAAUGAGGCGAACCGGGGGAACUGAAACAUCUAAGUACCCCGAGGAAAAGAAAUCAACCGAGAUUCCCCCAGUAGCGGCGAGCGAACGGGGAGGAGCCCAGAGCCUGAAUCAGCAUGUGUGUUAGUGGAAGCGUCUGGAAAGGCGCGCGAUACAGGGUGACAGCCCCGUACACAAAAGCGCAUGUGCUGUGAGCUCGAUGAGUAGGGCGGGACACGUGGUAUCCUGUCUGAAUAUGGGGGGACCAUCCUCCAAGGCUAAAUACUCCUGACUGACCGAUAGUGAACCAGUACCGUGAGGGAAAGGCGAAAAGAACCCCGGCGAGGGGAGUGAAAAAGAACCUGAAACCGUGUACGUACAAGCAGUGGGAGCCCCACCACUAAGCCAGUGGUGAACUCCACAUACGCAUCCUUUGCUGAGGAUACGGUUAACGGAGCGCAAGCGACGUUCAACCGCAAAAGAAGCAGAGGGGGCUUAGUGGUGGGGUGACUGCGUACCUUUUGUAUAAUGGGUCAGCGACUUAUAUUCUGUAGCAAGGUUAACCGUAUAGGGGAGCCGGAGGGAAACCGAGUCUUAAUUGGGCGUUAAGUUGCAGGGUAUAGACCCGAAACCCGGUGAUCUAGCCAUGGGCAGGUUGAAGGUUGGGUAACACUAACUGGAGGACCGAACCGACUAAUGUUGAAAAAUUAGCGGAUGACCUGUGGCUGGGGGUGAAAGGCCAAUCAAACCGGGAGAUAGCUGGUUCUCCCCGAAAGCUAUUUAGGUAGCGCCUCGUGAAUUCAUCUCCGGGGGUAGAGCACUGUUUCGGCUAGGGGGCCAUCCCGGCUUACCAACCCGAUGCAAACUGCGAAUACCGGAGAAUGUUAUCACGGGAGACACACGGCGGGUGCUAACGUCCGUCGUGAAGAGGGAAACAACCCAGACCGCCAGCUAAGGUCCCAAAGUCAUGGUUAAGUGGGAAACGAUGUGGGAAGGCCCAGACAGCCAGGAUGUUGGCUUAGAAGCAGCCAUCAUUUAAAGAAAGCGUAAUAGCUCACUGGUCGAGUCGGCCUGCGCGGAAGAUGUAACGGGGCUAAACCAUGCACCGAAGCUGCGGCAGCGAACGUAUCACUUAAAGCGAUUCAGCGGGUUACGAUUGACGGAGCGAAGCGACGUCAAAGCGUAUACAAAGUCGAGUCGGUUUAAGGAUACGUUCGUUGGGUAGGGGAGCGUUCUGUAAGCCUGUGAAGGUGGCCUGUGAGGGUUGCUGGAGGUAUCAGAAGUGCGAAUGCUGACAUAAGUAACGAUAAAGCGGGUGAAAAGCCCGCUCGCCGGAAGACCAAGGGUUCCUGUCCAACGUUAAUCGGGGCAGGGUGAGUCGACCCCUAAGGCGAGGCCGAAAGGCGUAGUCGAUGGGAAACGGGUUAAUAUUCCCGUACUUGGUGUUACUGCGAAGGGGGGACGGAGAAGGCUAUGUUGGCCGGGCGACGGUUGUCCCGGUUUAAGCGUGUAGGUGUGUGUUCCAGGUAAAUCCGGUUCACUUUAACACUGAGGCGUGAUGACGAGGCACUACGGUGCUGAAGCAACAAAUGCCCUGCUUCCAGGAAAAGCCUCUAAGCAUCAGGUAACACGAAAUCGUACCCCAAACCGACACAGGUGGUCAGGUAGAGAAUACCAAGGCGCUUGAGAGAACUCGGGUGAAGGAACUAGGCAAAAUGGUGCCGUAACUUCGGGAGAAGGCACGCUGACACGUAGGUGAAGUGAUUUACUCACGGAGCUGAAGUCAGUCGAAGAUACCAGCUGGCUGCAACUGUUUAUUAAAAACACAGCACUGUGCAAACACGAAAGUGGACGUAUACGGUGUGACGCCUGCCCGGUGCCGGAAGGUUAAUUGAUGGGGUCAGCGCAAGCGAAGCUCCUGAUCGAAGCCCCGGUAAACGGCGGCCGUAACUAUAACGGUCCUAAGGUAGCGAAAUUCCUUGUCGGGUAAGUUCCGACCUGCACGAAUGGCGUAAUGAUGGCCAGGCUGUCUCCACCCGAGACUCAGUGAAAUUGAACUCGCUGUGAAGAUGCAGUGUACCCGCGGCAAGACGGAAAGACCCCGUGAACCUUUACUAUAGCUUGACACUGAACAUUGAGCCUUGAUGUGUAGGAUAGGUGGGAGGCUUUGAAGUGUGGACGCCAGUCUGCAUGGAGCCGACCUUGAAAUACCACCCUUUAAUGUUUGAUGUUCUAACGUGGACCCGUAAUCCGGGUUGCGGACAGUGUCUGGUGGGUAGUUUGACUGGGGCGGUCUCCUCCUAAAGAGUAACGGAGGAGCACGAAGGUUGGCUAAUCCUGGUCGGACAUCAGGAGGUUAGUGCAAUGGCAUAAGCCAGCUUGACUGCGAGCGUGACGGCGCGAGCAGGUGCGAAAGCAGGUCAUAGUGAUCCGGUGGUUCUGAAUGGAAGGGCCAUCGCUCAACGGAUAAAAGGUACUCCGGGGAUAACAGGCUGAUACCGCCCAAGAGUUCAUAUCGACGGCGGUGUUUGGCACCUCGAUGUCGGCUCAUCACAUCCUGGGGCUGAAGUAGGUCCCAAGGGUAUGGCUGUUCGCCAUUUAAAGUGGUACGCGAGCUGGGUUUAGAACGUCGUGAGACAGUUCGGUCCCUAUCUGCCGUGGGCGCUGGAGAACUGAGGGGGGCUGCUCCUAGUACGAGAGGACCGGAGUGGACGCAUCACUGGUGUUCGGGUUGUCAUGCCAAUGGCACUGCCCGGUAGCUAAAUGCGGAAGAGAUAAGUGCUGAAAGCAUCUAAGCACGAAACUUGCCCCGAGAUGAGUUCUCCCUGAGACUUUAAGUCUCCUGAAGGAACGUUGAAGACGACGACGUUGAUAGGCCGGGUGUGUAAGCGCAGCGAUGCGUUGAGCUAACCGGUACUAAUGAACCGUGAGGCUUAACCUU